rnacentral:rRNA from 1 species
GACGAACCGUGCGACCGUUAUUCGGAAUCACUGGGCUUAAAGCGCGUGUAGGCGGAUCGGAACGUCGGUGCCUGAAAUCCCCCGGCUCAACCGGGGAACGCGGCCCGAAACGGCCGAUCUCGAGGGACGUAGGGGGAUCUGGAACUUCCGGUGGAGCGGUGAAAUGCGUUGAGAUCGGAAGGAACGCCCGUGGCGAAAGCGAGAUCCUGGACGUCUUCUGACGCUGAGACGCGAAAGCUAGGGGAGCGAACGGGAUUAGAUACCCCGGUAGUCCUAGCCGUAAACGAUGAGCACUGGGUAGGGGGCUCGCCGAUGGGCUCCCUGCCGCAGGGAAACCGUGAAGUGCUCCGCCUGGGGAGUAUGGUCGCAAGGCUGAA